rnacentral:rRNA from 1 species
GAUGAACGCUGGCGGCGUGCUUAACACAUGCAAGUCGAACGGUGAAGGCGGAGCUUGCUCUGCUGGAUCAGUGGCGAACGGGUGAGUAACACGUGAGCAAUCUGCCCCUGACUCUGGGAUAAGCGCUGGAAACGGCGUCUAAUACUGGAUACGAGCUGCGAAGGCAUCUUCAGCAGCUGGAAAGAAUUUCGGUCAGGGAUGAGCUCGCGGCCUAUCAGCUUGUUGGUGAGGUAAUGGCUCACCAAGGCGUCGACGGGUAGCCGGCCUGAGAGGGUGACCGGCCACACUGGGACUGAGACACGGCCCAGACUCCUACGGGAGGCAGCAGUGGGGAAUAUUGCACAAUGGGCGAAAGCCUGAUGCAGCAACGCCGCGUGAGGGACGACGGCCCUCGGGUUGUAAACCUCUUCUAGCAGGGAAGAAGCGAAAGUGACGGUACCUGCAGAAAAAGCGCCGGCUAACUACGUG